rnacentral:rRNA from 1 species
UGGGGGAAUUUUUGCGCAAUGGGGGGAAACCCCUGACGCAGCAACUCCGCGUGAGUGAUGAAGGCCUUCGGGUCGUAAAGCUCUGUCAGAGGGGAAGAAAUGCAGGGGUGCUAAUAUCAUCUUUGCUUGACGGUACCCUCAAAGGAAGCACCGGCUAACUCCGUGCCAGCAGCCGCGGUAAUACGGAGGGUGCGAGCGUUGUUCGGAAUUAUUGGGCGUAAAGCGCGUGUAGGCGGUUUGAUAAGUCUGAUGUGAAAGCCCCGGGCUCGAACCUGGGAAGUGCAUUGGAAACUGUCAGACUUGAAUACGGGAGAGGGUAUGGAAUUCCGUAGUGUAGGAGUGAAAUCCGUAGAUAUUAGGAGGAACNCGGUAGGCGAAGGCGGCUACCGUGGACCGAUAU